rnacentral:rRNA from 1 species
GGGUCCGGACACACUGAGGAUUGACAGAUAUACGCUCAUUGCUGCGUGCUUCGGCGCGUGCUUUGAGCUGAAAGAUGCUAGUUCUUUCAUGAUUAUGUGAUAGGUGGUGCAUGGCCGUUCUUAGUUCGUGGAGUGACCUGUCUGCUUAAUUGCGUAUCAAUAAUAGAGACCUAGUAUACGCGUGGAUUUCGCGUGGUAGUGACCCCCUGUUUAACGACAGGCGUGUGUCGCACACGCGUACCUACGCACUGGUCUCAGAUAGCAACGAACGUGACCGUAUUCUAUUGUUGCAGUGAAAUGUGCCUUCUGGGUACGACCCACUGCUUAGUAUAUGUACGUGUUUCGGCGCGAACAAUAUACAUUAAACUAUAGAGACCGCUGUUUCUUCUUUAAACCAGAGGAAGGAUACGGCAAUAACAGGUCUGUGAUGCCCUCAGAUGUUCCGGGCUGCACACGUGCUACAAUGAUCAUUGCACUGUGCAUCUAACCCAAUGUGCGUGGACGCCGCAUGCAUGUGCCUUCGGGUACACGCAUUGCUGUUGCGACCACGCCGAACCUACUUCGAAAGUAAAAUUUCUCAGUGGGU